rnacentral:misc_RNA from 1 species
AAGGAUCAUUAUCGAGUCAGGGUCUUCUAGGCCCGAAACUCCAACCCCAUGUUUAACUACCAUGUUGCUUUGACGGGCCCGUCUUCACGGACCGCGGGAGGCUCGCCUUCUCGCCAGUGCUCGUCAGUAGCCCCCUCAAAUUCGUUAUAAAUAUGUCGUCUAAAUAGCAAAACAAUCGUUAAAACUUUCAACAACGGAUCUCUUGGUUCUG